rnacentral:rRNA from 1 species
GACUUAAGCAUAUCAAUAAGCGGAGGAAAAGAAACCAACAGGGAUUGCCCUAGUAACGGCGAGUGAAGCGGCAACAGCUCAAAUUUGAAAUCUGGCUCUUUUAGGGUCCGAGUUGUAAUUUGCAGAGGGCGCUUUGGCGUUGGCAGCGGUCCAAGUUCUUUGGAACAGGACGUCACAGAGGGUGAGAAUCCCGUACGUGGUCGCUAGCCUUCGCCGUGUAAAGCCCCUUCGACGAGUCGAGUUGUUUGGGAAUGCAGCUCUAAAUGGGAGGUAAAUUUCUUCUAAAGCUAAAUACUGGCCAGAGACCGAUAGCGCACAAGUAGAGUGAUCGAAAGAUGAAAAGCACUUUGGAAAGAGAGUCAAAUAGCACGUGAAAUUGUUGAAAGGGAAGCGCUUGCAGCCAGACUUGCCUGUAGUUGCUUAUCCGGACUUUUGUCCGGUGCACUCUUCUGCGGGCAGGCCAGCAUCAGUUUAGGCGGUUGGAUAAAGGUCUCUAUCACGUACCUCCCUUCGGGGUUGGCCUUAUAGGGGAGACGACAUGCAACCAGCCUGAACUGAGGUCCGCGCAUCUGCUAGGAUGCUGGCGUAAUGGCUGUAAGCGGCCCGUCUUGAAACACGGACCAAGGAGUCUAACAUCUAUGCGAGUGUUUGGGUGUCAAGCCCAGACGCGUAAUGAAAGUGAACGGAGGUGGGAACCUUUUAGGUGCACCAUCGACCGAUCCUGAUGUCUUCGGAUGGAUUUGAGUAAGAGCAUGGCUGUUGGGACCCGAAAGAUGGUGAACUAUGCUUGAAUAGGGUGAAGCCAGAGGAAACUCUGGUGGAGGCUCGCAGCGGUUCUGACGUGCAAAUCGAUCGUCAAAUUUGGGCAUAGGGGCGAAAG